AAGCAGCGGAGCGUGUGGUUUAAUUCGAUGCUACACGAAGAACCUUACCAGGUUUGACAUGCAAGUGGUAGGAAUCUGAAAAGGGACCGACCCUUUCGGGGAGCUUGCACAGGUGCUGCAUGGCUGUCGUCAGCUCGUGUCGUGAGAUGUUCGGUUAAGUCCGCUAACGAGCGCAACCCUCACUGUGUGUUAUAUGUGUCACACGGGACUGCCGGUUUUAAGCCGGAGGAAGGUGGGGAUGACGUCAAGUCAGCAUGGCCUUUAUAUCCUGGGCUACACACACGCUACAAUGGUCGGUACAAUAGGUUGCCAAGCCGCGAGGCGGAGCCAAUCCACAAAGCCGGCCUCAGUUCAGAUUGUAGGCUGCAACUCGCCUGCAUGAAGAUGGAGUUGCUAGUAACCGCAGGUCAGCAAUACUGCGGUGAAUACGUUCCCGGGUCUU
rnacentral:rRNA from 1 species